rnacentral:rRNA from 1 species
GAUGAACGCUGGCGGCGUGCCUAAUACAUGCAAGUCGAACGAGUGGCGGACGGGUGAGUAAUGUCUGGGAAACUGCCUGAUGGAGGGGGAUAACUACUGGAAACGGUAGCUAAUACCGCAUACCAUCGGAUGUGCCCAGAUGGGAUUAGCUGGUAGGUGGGGUAACGGCUCACCUAGGCGACGAUCCCUAGCUGGUCUGAGAGGAUGACCAGACACAAUGGAACUGAGAAACGGUCCAGAGUCCUACGGUAGGCAGCAGUGGGGAAUAGUGCACAAUGGGCGCAAGCAUGAUGCAGCCAGGCCGCGUGUAUGAAGAAGGCCUUCGGGUUGUAAAGUACGUUCAGCGGGGAGGCGUUACCCGCAGAAGAAGCACCGGCUAACUACGUGCCAGCAGCCGCGGUAAUAC